rnacentral:rRNA from 1 species
GAUUAACGCUGGCGGCGUGCCUAAUACAUGCAAGUCGAACGAGGAGUUUUUGUAUUCGUACGAAAGCUCCUAGUGGCGAACGGGUGAGUAACGCGUUGGUGACCUGCCCCGAAGCAAGGGACAACUCCGGGAAACUGGAGCUAAUACCUUAUGUGAUCUCGAUGGUUAGAGUCUUUGAGAUUAAAGGACCUCGGUCCACUUCGGGAGGGGCCUGCGUCCCAUCAGCUAGUUGGUAGGGUAAUGGCCUACCAAGGCGUAGACGGGUAGGGGGCCUGAGAGGGUGGCCCCCCACACUGGCACUGAAACACGGGCCAGACACCUACGGGAGGCAG